CGCACAUUGCGCCCACCAGUAUUCUGAUGGGCAUGCCUGUUCGAGCGUCAUUUCAAACCCUUAAGCUCUGCCGCUUAGCGUUGGGGACCGCUAUAAAAAGCGCCCUCUAAAAAAAUUGGCGGAGUUGUUUAGGGCUCUCAGCGUAGUAAUUCUCUCGCUUUAGGGACCUGGCAGCGCCUGCCACAAGCCUAUUUUCUCAAGGUUUGACCUCGGAUCAGGUAGGAAUACCCGCUGAACUUAA
rnacentral:misc_RNA from 1 species